AUGUAUAAUAUCAAAAGUCACAUGAAUAAUUUUACAAUUUUGGUAUCAACAGUUGCUGAAAUUCAAGUUUUUUUUCUCUUUUGUCAAUUCUUCAAAAUUGUAGAAUUAUUCAUGUCACUUGAUAUGAUAAAUAUUUGAAACCAAGGAGUGUUUUUGUCUUCACCCUGUAUAUCUCAGUGUUGGAAUUCCAAAUGGAAAUGCAGGAUCAUCUCAUUUUGGCUGUUUUUUGUUUUGCUUUUCUGCAAAGGCCUAUGCUCGGACAAAAUGGGUUGUACAAAUGCCUGAAUUGUAAAAUAAAUGGCGCAUAUCAUAAGCUAGCUUAAUUGAUCAUUUAGUUUUUGUUUCCACUGUGGCAUAGUUUUUUUGUUUGUUUUUUUCCCUAAUGCAAAUCUUUUGUAAAUAUAUAUAAAUUUCCUCCAAAUGUAACAAUGGUUUCGUUUAUUAUUUAAGCAGAUGUAGAAGCUUGGUGACUGUAUUUUGUCUCAACGUGCUAUAGCGACUUGACAACAGUCAGUUCCAAAUAGUUUAUGGCAAAUAUAUCAUCUAGUUCAUCUCUUGUACAGAAGCUGCAGUGGACAUAAUUCAGGAUGAGAAUUGAGAACUGGUUCUGAAUUUAUUAUUGUCGAUGUUGUUGUGUCACUUCCGGGUUGCAAAACUGUGUGUCGUGAUGUCACGUGUGGUAUCAUGUCAGCAUACCCUGCGUCUAACAUCAAGGGGAAGUGGAAAUGUUGGAAACGUGUGGCCUGUGUUGUUUUCUCACUCGAAAUUGGUCAGGAAUCGAUAAAGAAUAGGACUCAAUAAUGGCAUCGAUAUUGAUUAAAAACUUAACUUCUAUGACUAGACAUAAUUGUGGCUCUUGUAGAACUUUCCUAGCUCGGUAACAAUGAAUGUACUAUGAGCCUCUGUUUUUGUUUUGUAGGCUUUCUCUCCAGUUUGCUUAUUGUGUGUAGUUUAUUUUUAACCAUUUAAUUUGUUUAUUUCUCUUAUUUGUAGGGUUACUUUUUCUUGUUUCACAUUCAACUGACUUGGUAUCUGCCACAAUACAGAUGGUUUUGUCGCUGGUGAACGUGAGAUGAAUCGUUCCACUGUUGUCUCUGAGAUGUAGGCUCCUGUAGGACGUUGUUUCACACUGGUGCAGUCAUUUUUUUUCCUCUCGUCCUGUUUGCUGUAAAAUAAGAGUGGCGUGGUUGCAUAGUCGAGUUAAGGUUUUUGUUUUUUAUUCUGCUUUAGCUGAUAUUCUGUGCAGCAUUGUCUUUUGAAAUCCUAAAAUCCUGCCUCAGUUUAUUCACUCAGCAGUGCAGUUGAAAAUGUUUCCUGGCAUCAUUUCUGUUUCUUCUGUUUGGUGGUGUUAAUGUUUCGUUCCAGAACUAAGAGUUGAGAGUUGAUUUCCAUGCCGUAGUGUUGACAUCAGCAAGAGCUGCUACCGCACAGAAAGCCCCAUGUAAUUUUAAUAUUUUCUUAUUUUGUUUUCUAAUACUCAAGCAUCACAUCGUGGCCAUAGCUCAUAUGUAGCUCUACAGCACCAGUGUGGUGCCGAAAUUGAGUCAAAAUCGAACCGUGUCUGAAGUGAUUUUGAAACAUUUGCCCUGAUGAAGCCUAAGAGGAGGAAGACGAGAGUUUCGCCAAAACCAAACUCAUGCCAUCCAGCCAACGCAUGUUUCGCCACGCUACACCAGUAUGGGUGUUCUUCAUGUUCGACGCAGUUUUAGCCUUCAGAAUUACUUGGUUUUAUUUAACACCGUGGACAAACUACCUCAGAUCAGUGUCGGGUGCUAGCUAAUAUUAGCCCCUGAUUUCUAAUGUCAACAAAGUCAAAAAUUGUAGUGACCAAACUAAUCCAAGCCAGUAAUAAUGUAAGAGCACUGCUCUUUUGUGAACCUGAAUAAAUGGAAAGCAAAGUAAUCAUGUAGAUACUGGUUGAUUGCUUUAGUUGGGGACCAGAUUUGUAAUUGGAGUUUUAUUUCAUACGAGCGUUUAUUUUUACAAAGAUGUUUAUAUAUAUAUUAAAAACAAGUCAACAGAACUGCUGAAAACAGUCUCAGACUGAUCGAUACCAGCGAGAAAUAAAUUUAUAGUCAUGACAAAAUUGUACAAUGAGUGAUGAUGAUAUUCCUUGAAUAUUGAGCUACCUGGUUUCCAGGUAGUAGUCCCAGUUGCCUGAUUAGUCCUACUGGCUAUUCCCACCAGGAUGGCAGCACAAAAAAGCUUCCCUUUGGGAGUGCGUCUGGGGAAAAAGUUAACUUACUGCUUGUUAACACAUCGAAAACCCUUGUAGUCCCUUGACCAGUAUCUUUAUUUUUUUAUUUUUGUCACCUUGCUGCUUAAAAAAUUUAGCCCUUGUUCUACCAGCGGAUAUGUGCGUAAUUAAUUUGUCGAUCAGGUACUAGCUCCCGAGUAUCGGAAUCAUCCUGACAGCAGAAAAGCACCUGAAGAAGAGUUUGUAUUGAUGGUGCAAGUAACACAAUGUGUUGAGAUGUAUAUGCAGCAAUAACAUGUAGGCAUGGAAACAUAUUCGUCUCUACACCAGCCUGUUGUCUUUAUGUAGGUGAAGGCAAUGCACAAGAAAAUUGACAAUUUUCAAAUUGGCUGAAAAUUGCAGUGUGUCUUCCCCCCCCCCCCCCCCCCCCCCAAGGUUUGACCAUUUAUAUUUGUUGUGUGUUUUGCUUGAGUGUUGAGGUUCAUACAGAAUAGUCACUCCAACUGAUGGAAUGUCAACAUUUCUCUGCCAUGUUAACCAGCACUGCAAUAAAAUCAGGAUGGAUGUCCCUGUGUCUGUUUAUUUUCACUUUUCCUACACACAAUGCCAUUUUAUAAAAGAUAUGCUAUUUAGUAUUGCAUGCAACAAUUUUCAAAGGGAAUAUACACACUUUAACACAUUCUGCGUUUUAUUCAAACUCCAUGAUGUUAUAACUAAAGGUACACAUGUGAUUGUGUCUUUCUGUGUGUGUGUGCGCGUGCCUUCGUCGGCUCUCCUCUCCGCCGGCCCUAAACGUUGGGUUUGUGUGUCCUCCUUGUAAAGAUUUAACAAUCUGCCACACCACAUGAAAAUGUCCUUUUUUUUUCUUUUUUUUUUACGAUCAUGCAACCUUGCGUGUAGAUGCUGCAUAGAACGAUCAGUAUUCGUGUUUUGCACUUUGAAAGCAGUUUAAAAAAUUGCCCACCGAGAUUGGGCAGAAAGUUGAAAAAAAAA